rnacentral:lncRNA from 1 species
AAACAACUUCUCCAGUGCUGCCCAGGAGCCCCAAGCGACCCGAGUGGCGGUGGAUAACGCUCCCUGCAAACCUCUAGGCCCCUCUGCGGGGGACGCUGGGGGGGGCCCGGCUGGGGCUGCAGCAGGGCCGGCAGCUGCGGCUCUCCUCCAGUGCUGCCGAUUUGGGCGUAUGACUCUGCACCCCCAUCCUCUGUCUGACUGCAGGGACCUUGCUGCAGGCUGAGCCCCGUGGUGGAGGAAGGCAGGGACCCCCCGGCUCCCCAGGCCCCCCAGCUCUGCUGGCUGCGAGAGGCCCCAGACGGGCCCAUCUUGAACUUGACUUGGGGCGCUGCGGGCGGCUGGGGCUGCCCUGUCUUCUCCCGCCUGCCGCGGGGUCUGCUUGUGCAAGCGACCCGUGAAGCCUUGCAUGCUUUAAAAAUUAAAUGAAUUUCUCGUCUCUGCCCUCAAAAAAAAAGAAAAAAAAUUAAAAAGCAUAUCGGGCAGGAAAAGAUGGGAGGGAGGUGUAGAACAAUCUGUGGUGCUGCAUGUCUGAAAAAAAAAACCAAACAAAAAACAGUAACAUUGAAGGCAAGUUUCCCACCCCACAUUGCUGAAUUUGUCCCCUUGAAGGAGGUAAAUGGUUUCCCUCCGAGGUGCCCCAGCCAGACAUGGAUCCCCGCUUCUUGCCGCUGUCAGGUCUCUCUCCCGCUGUGCACAGAGCCGAGCCCUGGGGCUGGACGCAGAGUGCUGCUGGCCUGGGCUUUUCCUGGGGGCGAGCGGGGCCAGGAGGAACAGAGCUGCUGGGGGCCAUCGGGUUUUCCUCGGACACCCACCUGAGUUGUGUCUGCGUCGCUCCGGACCGUGCCAGGCUUGGAAAGGUGCUGGGUCUUCAGACUGGUGUUUCUGCACCCUUUCCAGGCCAUGGUACCAGAAUUACAGAUCCUGGGCAUUAGUGAACUCCCAUGGAAGGAUUUUUCUGUCAGAAGAUGCCUGUAGCCUGGUGAUGACAACUCACUCCUGCUCUUCUCCUACCUGA